AACGAACGCUGGCGGUAUGCUUAACACAUGCAAGUCGAACGGACUAAUUAAAGCUUGCUUUGAUUAGUUAGUGGCAAACGGGUGAGUAACGCGUGGGAAUCUACCCAUCAGUACGGAAUAACUUUUGGAAACAAAAGCUAAUACCGUAUAUUCUCUUCGGAGGAAGAUUUAUCGCUGAUGGAUGAGCCCGCGUCUGAUUAGGUAGUUGGUAGGGUAAUGGCCUACCAAGCCAACGAUCAGUAGCUGGUCUGAGAGGAUGAUCAGCCACACUGGAACUGAGACACGGUCCAGACUCCUACGGGAGGCAGCAGUGGGGGAAUAUUGGACAAUGGGGCGAAAGCCUGAUCCAGCAAUACCGCGUGAAUGGUGAAGGCCUUAGGGUUGUAAAGUUCUUUUAGUCAGGGAAGAUAAUGACGGUACCUGCAGAAAAG
rnacentral:rRNA from 1 species